UACGGAGGGUGCGAGCGUUAUCCGGAAUCACUGGGUUUAAAGGGUGCGUAGGCGGGUUAUUAAGUCAGAUGUGAAAUGCUGUCGCUUAACGAUAGAAUUGCAUUUGAUACUGAUAGUCUUGAAUUGGGUUGAGGUUAGCGGAAUGUGACAUGUAGCGGUGAAAUGCAUAGAUAUGUCAUGGAACACCAAUUGCGAAGGCAGCUAACUGGGCCUUGAUUGACGCUGAGGCACAAAAGCGUGGGUAGCGAACAGG
rnacentral:rRNA from 1 species